UGGAGAGUUUGAUCCUGGCUCAGAUUGAACGCUGGCGGCAGGCCUAACACAUGCAAGUCGAACGGUAGCACAGAGGAGCUUGCUCCUUGGGUGACGAGUGGCGGACGGGUGAGUAAUGUCUGGGAAACUGCCUGAUGGCGGGGGAUAACUACUGGAAACGGUAGCUAAUACCGCAUAACGUCGCAAGACCAAAGAGGGGGACCUUCGGGCCUCUUGCCAUCAGAUGUGCCCAGAUGGGAUUAGCUAGUAGGUGGGGUAAUGGCUCACCUAGGCGACGAUCCCUAGCUGGUCUGAGAGGAUGACCAGCCACACUGGAACUGAGACACGGUCCAGACUCCUACGGGAGGCAGCAGUGGGGAAUAUUGCACAAUGGGCGCAAGCCUGAUGCAGCCAUGCCGCGUGUAUGAAGAAGGCCUUCGGGUUGUAAAGUACUUUCAGCGAGGAGGAAGGCAUUAAGGUUAAUAACCUUGGUGAUUGACGUUACUCGCAGAAGAAGCACCGGCUAACUCCGUGCCAGCAGCCGCGGUA
rnacentral:rRNA from 1 species